GCAGGGGAUCAAAUUACCAAUGUUAAAUCAUCCUACUGGUAAGGUAUUGAAGUAUCCGUAUUUAACCGCUCCCUUAGCAGUAUAUAGAAGUACCGAUAGUUAUCGCCCCACUGAUGGGUAUUGAAAAAUAGUUUGGUCAUAAGUUAAAAUCCAUCUCAAAAUAAAACACUUUUCAAAGACAUAUUUCAUAAUCCAAAUUGAACAACUCACAA
rnacentral:lncRNA from 1 species